rnacentral:rRNA from 1 species
CAACUUUCAACAACGGAUCUCUUGGUUCUGGCAUCGAUGAAGAACGCAGCGAAAUGCGAUAAGUAGUGUGAAUUGCAKAAUUCAGUGAAUCAUCGAAUCUUUGAACGCACAUUGCGCCCCUUGGUAUUCCAUGGGGCAUGCCUGU